rnacentral:rRNA from 1 species
AGCGAACGCUGGCGGCAGGCCUAACACAUGCAAGUCGAACGGAUCCUUCGGGAUUAUUGGCGGACGGGUGAGUAACACGUGGGAACGUGCCCUUUUGUUCGGAACAACUCAGGGAAACUUGAGCUAAUACCGGAUGUGCCCUUCGGGGGAAAGAUUUAUCGCCAUUGGAGCGGCCCUCGUCUGAUUCGCUUGUUGGUUAGGUAACGGCCCACCAAGGCGACGAUCAGUAGCUGGUCUGAGAGGAGGAUCAGCCACACUGGGACUGAGACACGGCCCAGACACCGACGGGAGGAAGCAGAAGGGAAUCUUCCGCAAUGGGCGAAAGCCUGAUGGAGCAACGCCGCGUGAGGGAUGAAGGUCUUAGGAUCGGAAAACGCUGUGAGUAGGGAAGAACAAAUGUGUAAGUAACUAUGAACGUCUUGACGGUACCGAAUCAGAAAGCCACGGCUAACUACGUG